GCCUUUCAGCCGGGAACUCGUAUUUGAAUGAACUGAUCAUCGUCGUUUCUGAGGAAUUCUGGUGGUGAUUCGCUUUCGGGUCACCAGAGGUUUCUUCCUUAUGGGGAACAGAUCCAUUAUAUUAAUAUAUAUUAAUGCCCAUUUGUUUACUGUAGAUCCUUCACUGCUUGCAUAGUGGGUAAGUAAACAGUGCAGCAGAGAGAGGACCUUUCCGACACAUCUCUUGACCUGUAGUAGAGCUGUAAUAUUCAUAACCUGGAUGAUUCACAGAGGAAAUCCUAUACCAGAAAAAUGCUACAUCUCUGAGGAUGCACCUUUGACAGAAAAAAAAAUAUACGAUGUGCAUAAUGGAUAUAUAGAAGCUCUCAUAUCUUUCAGUUGUCCUCUCCAGUGCACAUACUGUGGCAGUAUGGCAUGAAGAUAGUUGAGAAAUGAUGAUUCAGCGUCCUUAUACACCUGCCAGCACUUUUACUUCAACUGAAACUUCUCAUGAGCCCCAGUGAGCUCCCGAUUUCUACCGGACUUGGCAGAAGCAAAGUUUAGCAGCUAAUCCAGCUGCUCAGCAAAGCCAGAGUUUCUACCUGCAGGCAGGCUGCACAGCAGGCCCUCAGGAGCCUAUCACAGGGUGACACUUGCCCUGUGACAGAGAGGGAACUUCGGAGCACAAGUGCUGGACAAGGUGAAUCUCAGUUUAGUUUUGCAGCGUGGGGUAUGCAGGCUUGUUUUUCUCUAUUGAGGGCUUCCUGAGCUGAAAGCUUCACAGUUCUUUACCUCUCCAAAACAGCAGAUUCCUAGUCUUGAGCAUCCCUGGGCACUUGUGUAAGGCUUGUAAGUUGCCGAUGGGGUGAUACCUUGAGACAUUUCAGCAGGCUGAGAGAGCUGGGGUUGGGAUCUCUCCAGGGAGACCCUUAAAGCAGCCUUCCAGUGCCUAAUGGGGCCAAUAAGAAAGCUGGAGAGGGCCUUUUUACAAGGGCAGGUAGUGAUAGACAAGGGUAAAUGGCUUUAAACUGAGAAGAUUACAGAUCUAGAUUAGAUAUCAGGAAGAAGUGUUUUCCAGUGAGGCACUGGCACAGGUUGCCCAGAGAGGCUGUAGCUGCCCCAUCCCUGGCAGUGCUCAAGGGCAGGUUGGAUGGGGCUUUAAGCAACCUGAUCUAGUGGAAGUUGUCCCUGCCUGUGGCAGGGGGCUUGGAACUGGAUGAUCUUUAAGGUCUCUUCCAACCCAAACCAGUCUGUGAUUCUAUGAUUUUGUAUCCCCUCAUUCUUCUUUCUGUUCUGUGAUACCAAAUGACAAGACUUGGAAGAGCUGAUUCUAAGAGUUAUGGUCUUUAACGGUCAUCUUUGUUUCUCAUCCUUGUUCCCACACUCCAGGGUCCUAGGGAUGCAGCUGGCCAAUAUAGCUAGGUGUUUUUUGAGGAAUCAUCUGGAGAUUCCUGCCUGUUGCUUCUUUUGCAGUGAGAAAGCAAGACACACAUUAGUGAUAAGCCAGGUUCUUCCUCCUCCCCCAAAACACAUUGUUAAACUUUUAGCUGUGGCUUUUUUCCAUGCAACUUUACAUUAUUAGUGCACUGCAGUUGUGGUUCCACAAGAAUUUGGGAUCUCCUUUUCCAUGAAGGGCAAAACCACAAGCUGAUCAUAUGACUGUUUAUACCUGUAAGCCCAUCACAAGUCUGUCUCUGCCCACAUACUGCUGUAUCAGUUGCCUGUUGCAGUUGGUGUCACAUAUGCAGGGCCUCUCCACACCCUUUACACUGUACUCCCUGUGGUUCCCUGCUUUCCAGGCACACAGGGAUCAGCAGUGCCUCUAAUUGUGCUUCUUGGCUGUCUCCCAGAAAGUGCUUUUAUCGCUGUUCUUCCAUGCUUACUAUUUAGUCAACGUGCUUUAUAGGCAGCAUGAGACGUGUUUUCUAUCAGGCACAGUAAAACAACCUGCUGCUGCCAUGAAGGAUGGGCCACGCCUCCCUCCCACUAUCCUUCUGGCAUGCUCCCUGUUCCUGUCAGCCAGUGAAAUGUCAGUAGCAGGUCCCAUCUGGUAAGGCCAUAGGAACCUAAUCCCUCCCUCUUGGGUCAGAUAUAACCAGAUGACCUAAACUGGAUGCUGCAAUAGCAAGGAAAAAGUCUUUGGGAGGAGCAAGAGGUAAUAAUGGCAGGAGACUUGAAAUGAAGUGACAGAAACAGAAGCAGAAUUUCUCUACAGAGAUUUUUUCAAGCAGGACCUGCAGUAGGUCCUCCCAUUAUAAAAUAACAGUACCUAGUCAUGGCCAUGAUUAAAUAAUUAAAAGUAUUCCCAUCUCUGGCUGCUGGUGUCUGGUAUCAUUCAGAAAUACAACUGUAGUACAUCACACGAGAUGUACUCAGCCAGUUUGCUGGCUGAGCCAGGUUGUAUUGCUGGUGUUGAGUCAUUUUCCCCCUCCCAUGCAACAGAUUAAAACGUCCUUGGUGUUUGUGUGCACAUGUGUAUCUGAAAAGAGAAAGUGCCUCAUUUUUGUAUUAAAACUAAUGUGUUACUAUCAUGAUUGUGUCUCAUUGUUUGCUGUUAUAUAAAGAUAACACAUCAGGGCUGAAUCACAGAAACAAAUGCAAAAAAUUGCAGUCUUAAAAGAAUAAGGUGACAGGUCACAUUCAUUGUUGUAGAACAAAUGCAAUAAUUAAUUGCCCUCUCCCUGCAGCACAAGCAACUACUAGAGAGCUAGGCAGUGAAAAGGAGCCAUGUGGAGUAUCCAUAUUCUUCUAGGGCAAACAGCUGAGGUAGAUUAUAUUCAGAAAAUAGAACACAAAAAGCUUUUUGGAAUUUGUGCUGUAUUUUUUUUUUUCUCUCAGACAGUGACAGGCCAGAAUCAGCCCAUGUGAAAAUACACUUUUUAUCCAGCCACAGCAGCUGAACUUGGGAUGUUUGAGUCUACAGGUGACCCUAAGCUACAGCAUCUUCCUCAGAGAUAUACCGCAGAGUCAACAGCAGACUGGAGUUCCACGGCUCGGCUCUGCAGCAGCAAAGCCCAUGGGAAGGCACUGUGUCAAGCCUUAGGCAGAAGCAUCAAGGUCUGUGGCAUCUCCUUAGCUGCCUGAAAGACUUGAAGAAGACCAAAGGGGAUGAUGUCCCAAGUCCCUCACAAGACAGUAAUUUCACUGGAUGGUCCUGCACUGCUCUGCUGUCUUUGCACAGAACAUCUCCUUCUGCACUGAGGUUUUUCAGGGAAGAUUCUCCUAACCACUGUGAUGAUUAAGACAAUGUCCAAAAGACUGUAUCACUGGAACAAGAUGCAUAUUCUUAAUCAGCUGAACUGAUCCUAUGAAAUUUUCAUCAGUUCUGAGGCUCCAGACCACCAUUGUCUAAUAUUACAGGUCUCAAUUCUCUCCUUCAUUCAGCACUCUCCUACAUAGGGUCAUUUUAAAAGGGAAGCCAAGUACGAGCCUGUGUCAUGAAGUUUGAAAAACAGUUUCCAGAGCAUGUUCUAGAGCAACUUCUGAGCUCCUUGAGGCACGAGUUGCCAGACUCCUCCUGAUUUACACAGAUCUCUGCAGUAUGUCAUCCAACAUCCACAGAUGUUCCAAGCAGAUGCAAGCUGUGGUCUCAUGGAUGUGGAAAACUGUUCUCUAAAUUAUGAACAACAACUGCGAGAAUGAGUUUUGUUUCUACCCUGGGAACAAGAGAAGCUUGCUAAUAGUGCAAAGUUUGCUACUGUGGCAAUGCUCUGCAAAAUGAUUCCCCAACAAGCAGCAGUUCAGAAGCACAGCAUGUUUUGUGAAUGACCCUGAUCAGCCCAAGAGAGCCAGUCCAAGGACUCUUCUCUCUUACAGAUUGCAGCUGGUUCUCACAUGGCCAUGCAGAGACAUCACCGAUUCGUCCCUGCCAGCUGACCUUUGCCUGCAGUGCCUCAACUCUCCAGAAAUGAAAGAAUAAAA